GAUGAACGCUGGCGGCGUGCCUAAUACAUGCAAGUCGAGCGAACGGACGAGAAGCUUGCUUCUCUGAUGUUAGCGGCGGACGGGUGAGUAACACGUGGAUAACCUACCUAUAAGACUGGGAUAACUUCGGGAAACCGGAGCUAAUACCGGAUAAUAUUUUGAACCGCAUGGUUCAAAAGUGAAAGACGGUCUUGCUGUCACUUAUAGAUGGAUCCGCGCUGCAUUAGCUAGUUGGUAAGGUAACGGCUUACCAAGGCAACGAUGCAUAGCCGACCUGAGAGGGUGAUCGGCCACACUGGAACUGAGACACGGUCCAGACUCCUACGGGAGGCAGCAGUAGGGAAUCUUCCGCAAUGGGCGAAAGCCUGACGGAGCAACGCCGCGUGAGUGAUGAAGGUCUUCGGAUCGUAAAACUCUGUUAUUAGGGAAGAACAUAUGUGUAAGUAACUGUGCACAUCUUGACGGUACCUAAUCAGAAAGCCACGGCUAACUACGUGCCAGCAGCCGCGGUAAUACGUAGGUGGCAAGCGUUAUCCGGAAUUAUUGGGCGUAAAGCGCGCGUAGGCGGUUUUUUAAGUCUGAUGUGAAAGCCCACGGCUCAACCGUGGAGGGUCAUUGGAAACUGGAAAACUUGAGUGCAGAAGAGGAAAGUAGAAUUCCAUGUGUAGCGGUGAAAUGCGCAGAGAUAUGGAGGAACACCGGUGGCGAAGGCGACUUUCUGGUCUGUAACUGACGCUGAUGUGCGAAAGCGUGGGGAUCAAACAGG
rnacentral:rRNA from 1 species